GGAUUCCCCUAGUAACGGCGAGUGAAGCGGGAAGAGCUCAAAUUUAGAAUCUGGCGGCCUCAGGUCGUCCGAGUUGUAAUCUAGAGAGGUGUUUUCCGCGCCGGACCGUGUACAAGUCCCUUGGAACAGGGCGUCAUAGAGGGUGAGAAUCCCGUCCGUGACACGGACUCCCGGUGCUCUGCGAUACACCUUCAAAGAGUCGAGUUGUUUGGGAAUGCAGCUCAAAAUGGGUGGUAAAUUCCAUCUAAAGCUAAAUACAGGCGAGAGACCGAUAGCGAACAAGUACCGUGAGGGAAAGAUGAAAAGAACUUUGGAAAGAAAGUUAAACAGUACGGAAAAUUGUUGAAAGGGAAACGCUUGGAGUCAGUCCCGUCUGCCGGGACUCACCCUUGCUUCUGCUUGGUGCACUUCUCGGUGGAUGGGCCAGCAUCGAUUUUGGUCGCCGGAAAAGGGUGGGGAGGAAUGUGGCAGCUUUUGCUGUGUUAUAGCCUUCAUGUCGUACACGGUGGUCGGGAUCGAGGACUGCAGCACGCCUCUGGUCGGGGUUCGCCCACGCCACGUGCUUAGGAUGCUGGCGUAAUGGCUUUAAACGACCCGUCUUG
rnacentral:rRNA from 1 species